UUUAGAAGUUUCACCAUGAAAAAGGAAGUUGUAAUAACUCAAACAUAGAAUGUCCAAUCUAGGGAUGUCACGAUACCAAAAAUCUAGUAGUCGGUACUGAUACCAGCAAAAAUACACGAUACUCGAUACCACUUUGUGUAUAAAUAAAUAAUACUUUUAACUCCUUUAUUUAAACACUUGAGCAUUAUAAAAAACAACAGUCACAUAAUAUAAAAAAAGCAAUUACAAAAUAGAUAUAUAAUAAAUAUGUAGGCAUAAAAUGUUUUUUCUUUGAGAUGUUCUGAAAUGAGGUCUGGUUUCGGUGUAUAGUUUGGGGAUCUCUGUAUACAUGAAGUAAUUUUUGCCUGGUACCUGGGGUUGAACCGCUGAAGCAGAGGGAGGGGAGCAAUCACAUUUUAGCCCAGAACCUUUAGCUUGCCUUUGCCAGGAGGUUCAGACUUGGCUUUCAACAAGAUAAAGAGCCAAGCAUACUUCCAAAUAAACGCCAAAAUGCUUCAAGAAACUCAAAAUCAGUGUUUUACAAUGAGCUUAAAAUGUCCUCCAUGGUGGCAUGGACCAGGACCCCUCGGUCUGCAGCAUUACAGGAAGAUUUCAGGUUAGACAUUACGGGAAGAGUCUCGGUGCUGUUAUUGUCUCUGGGGCAGACAUCAGUUAACAUUGUGACCCCUUCCCUGGAGAGAACAGCAUUACAAUUCUGAAAACAGUUUUUGUAAAUAAUAAUUCACUACUUAAAGCAUGUACCCGAGCUCCUGCUACGCAGUAACUAAAACUGUCUGCAACUCACGUGUUACUUCAUUCUUUAGUUCCUUCUCUUAAGUGCAGAGCCUCUGUCAGAUUGUGUGAUUGAUAAAGAAAAGCACAUAAAUGACAAAAUACCAGUUUGAGUGCCUAGUGGUCUAAUCAGGAAAUGCUCUUUGGAAGCUCAAUAUAUGCACUUAUCCAUUUGCAUUUGAUUUGGCUGUUAGUGCUGAGGAUGUCCUUAAGGUGAUGUGCUGCUUUUGGCAGAUUUAGUAAUUCUCUUUAGUCACAUGACCACUAAUGGUUUUUCUAAAUUUUUAUGUAGUUUAUUUUGGAUACAGGCAGAGGAAGCUCAGCGAAAGCUUAAGAGACAGAAUGGAGAGGACCCAGCCCUGCCUCCAUUCUGCCCACUGUUUGCCAGCUUGGGAAACAUUCUGCAGUGUGACGUGCUGCUUGGCAUGCUGGGAGCUGUGCUGCAGUGGGCUAUGGAGCCCAGUGGAGGACACUGGUCUGAGUCCAUGCUGCAGAGGGUAAAUGUUUGGAUGUUUUGUUAAAAUGACAUGAUAGUGUAGUAAAUUCAACAAAUUUUCACUUGCUAUGCUGUGUUCAUGAGCAUCACUUUUUAAUGACUGAGUAGUGUUCACAAUUCUGUAUGUGUGUGUUGCUACAGGUGCUGCACUUGAUAGGCAUGGCUCUGAUGGAGGAGCAGCAACAGCUAGAGAACAUUGGGGAUGACGAUGAAGUUACUUUCAACUUCACCCUGAAAAUCUCCCGUCCCGGUGAAGCCCCCGGCAACACUCCAAGCAUCCUGGCUCUGUUAGAGACCUUGCAGUGCACGCCUCACUUGGAAGUGCACAAAGACAUGAUUCGCUGGUUCCUUAAAGUAAAAUUACAUCUUGAUUAUGUUUGCAAUUUGCCUUACUCUCUCUAUGCGUGCACCUAAUAUGUCCACCAGGUGGCAGCCUAGCAUGUUUUACAAUUCGCUCACUGAAGGUAGGCGCAACAUACAAAAGAUGAGCGUUUUUACCAUGAAGUUUAAAGCAGUGCUGCUUCAUCAAGACCUGUUUGAAAUCCAAGCAGUGCAACACCGCUCAAGGUGGCGUGGCUGGUAGGCAAAGCAGCACCUCUCACCACUGUGAAGCACAAAUGCUUCACUGUCACAAAGCGGUUUUGCUGCUGAUCAUCUGUAGGUGGCCCUAGGGGUGUUUUGAUGUGGCUUAUUGUGCGUGUUACUUAAAAGCUGUAUGUCAACAUGAAUAUUUAAAUGACAUGUAAGGAUUGCUUACUACACAAACUGAACUUCCAUGUACUGUGAUGUGUGCAUUUUAUUUUCCAUAUAGUGAAAACUGUCAGGACACCUGCACCAGGCAGAACAUGUACAUAUAAAGGCCAUGGUGUAGGCCAAGGCUAAUGAUGUAUUGCAGUAUGUACUUUGAAGAGAAACAGGCAAAUUAAAUGUUAGUAAAAUUGUAAUGCAUCUUCAGUAUUUAAUGGUAUGGUGUGUGUGUAUACUUUUUAGUGCACAAAUGUGUUCUAUUGAACAUAUGCUUAGUUUUGCAAGACUUUGAUUGUGUAUGCAUGUAGUUCUAACUGCACUGCUGUAUCGUUUUCUUGUAAAAGUAUUUUCCUAAAUUAUGUGUCUUUUUCUACACAGAUGGUGGUUAGCAUUAAAACGAUGCGCGAGUGCACAGCUGCUGCACCUCCCUGUGAAGGAACUGGGCACUGUCACAAGGAGACUGUGUGGGACAAAGACAAAGCAGAGAGAAAAAGGAAAGCUGAACUGUGCUGGAAAAAGACCACGGCUCAAACAUUACAGAGCCAGAGUCAUUUUAUCAAUAAGUACAUAGAUCUGCUCACGCAGGAUUCAGAGGAUCUGGACGUCUCAGCCUCUACAUCAGCAGAGCAUAGAUACCUAAGCAUGCUCGUAGUGACGCAGUGUUCUUUAUAAGUCAACUUGUAUUAUAUUCUCAAUAUCCAGUCAGUACAUUUAUGUCAGUAAAUCCAUGCAUCAACACUUCCUUGACUUUGCUGAGCAGUUGUCUGUUCUUUGUCCUAAAAGUUCUUGCAUUUAAUGGUGGUCUUCACAUAACAUAAGUAAAUUCCCAUCCUUAAACUCUUUAUCUUGCAUAUUCAUUUGGAGCA